rnacentral:rRNA from 1 species
UACGUAGGGGGCAAGCGUUGUCCGGAGUACUGGGCGUAAAGCGCACGCAGGCGGUCUCUUAAGUUUUGGAGUGACAGUUGGUGGCUUAACUGCCAAAGUGCUUCGAAAACUGAGAGACUUGAGGGCUUCAGAGGGACACGAAUCCGGGUGGAGUGGUGGAAAUGACGUAGAGAUCCGGAGGAACACCAGUGGCGAAGCGGCGCCUGGACCUGACCUGACGCUGAGGCGCGAAGGCGCGGGGAGCGAACGGG